GAUGAACGCUGGCGGCGUGCCUAAUACAUGCAGGUCGAGCGAACAGACGAGGAGCUUGCUCCUCUGACGUUAGCGGCGGACGGGUGAGUAACACGUGGAUAACCUACCUAUAAGACUGGGAUAACUUCGGGAAACCGGAGCUAAUACCGGAUAAUAUAUUGAACCGCAUGGUUCAAUAGUGAAGGACGGUUUUGCUGUCACUUAUAGAUGGAUCCGCGCCGCAUUAGCUAGUUGGUAAGGUAACGGCUUACCAAGGCAACGAUGCGUAGCCGACCUGAGAGGGUGAUCGGCCACACUGGAACUGAGACACGGUCCAGACUCCUACGGGAGGCAGCAGUAGGGAAUCUUCCGCAAUGGGCGAAAGCUUGACGGAGCAACGCCGCGUGAGUGAUGAAGGUCUUCGGAUCGUAAAACUCUGUUAUUAGGGAAGAACAAAUGUGUAAGUAACUAUGCACGUCUUGACGGUACCUAAUCAGAAAGCCACGGCUAACUACGUG
rnacentral:rRNA from 1 species